GGGAGGUCAGGCCAAAGCUGCAACGUCCUCGGAGCUGCCCAGGAGCCUGAGACUGGGACACUGAGCCCCAGGUAGUUUUGAACAGCCCAGGUUGUGCAGUCAGGGGUCAGUCAGGUCUGGGAGAGGUUUGCCGUCCUGCGUUGAUGUCCCGCGGGUCGGGACAGUUGGCGCCCAACGUAGUUGAUUGGAACCUUUGCCAGAGAAGCGAACGCCGCCCUCCGGGGAAGACUUGGCCAAGCGGGAUUCGGGAUUGCCUCGGUAAACGCGACCGGGAGUCAGAUCCAGGAGGAGAGUGAGGCCGGCGCAAGAUGCAGCCGACAAUCUAUGCGAAAAAUCCCCUGA